CCUACGGGAGGCUGCAGUGGGGAAUAUUGGACAAUGGGGGGAACCCUGAUCCAGCCAUGCCGCGUGUGUGAAGAAGGCCCUCGGGUUGUAAAGCACUUUCAGUGAGGAAGAACGCCUGGUGGUUAAUACCCAUCAGGAAAGACAUCACUCACAGAAGAAGCUCCGGCUAACUCCGUGCCAGCAGCCGCGGUAAUACGGAGGGUGCGAGCGUUAAUCGGAAUUACUGGGCGUAAAGCGCGCGUAGGUGGCUUGAUAAGCCGGUUGUGAAAGCCCCGGGCUCAACCUGGGAACGGCAUCCGGAACUGUCAAGCUAGAGUGCAGGAGAGGAAGGUAGAAUUCCCGGUGUAGCGGUGAAAUGCGUAGAGAUCGGGAGGAAUACCAGUGGCGAAGGCGGCCUUCUGGACUGACACUGACACUGAGGUGCGAAAGCGUGGGUAGCAAACAGGAUUAGAUACCCGAGUAGUC
rnacentral:rRNA from 1 species